rnacentral:rRNA from 1 species
AAUCUUGGGCAAUGGGCGAAAGCCUGACCCAGCCACGCCGCGUGCAGGAUGACACCCNNNAGGGGNGUAAACUGCUUUUGUACNGGCNAAAAUCCCUGCUCGGCAGGGCCUGACGGUACCGUCCGAAUAAGCACCGGCUAACUCCGUGCCAGCAGCCGCGGUAAUACGGAGGGUGCAAGCGUUGUCCGGAAUUAUUGGGCGUAAAGGGUGCGUAGGCGGCCUUUUAAGUCAGAUGUGAAAGCCCACGGCUUAACCGUGGGACUGCAUUUGAAACUGGAGGGCUUGAGUAUCGGAGAGGGUAGUGGAAUUCCCAGUGUAGCGGUGGAAUGCGUAGAUAUUGGGAGGAACACCAGUGGCGAAGGCGACUACCUGGACGAAAACUGACGCUGAGGUGCGAAAGCGUGGGGAGCAAACA